AGCUCUGCGCAGCGGCGAUAUCGAACCCAAUGAGGAACAUCCGAGGUGCGAUUAUUGCUAGUUGAAGAAAACACAAAUGAUUACUAAGCCAACGGCAGUCCUACGUCAACCGUGCGGUUAAAUCAUAGGUAUAACCCAUCCAUUGUU